AUACAGAGGGUGCGAGCGUUAAUCGGAAUUACGGGGCGUAAAGCGCGCGUAGGCGGCUACUUAAGUCAGAUGUGAAAUCCCCGGGCUCAACCUGGGAACUGCAUCUGAUACUGGGUAGCUAGAGUUUUGGAGAGGGAAGUAGAAUUUCAGGUGUAGCGAUGAAAUGCAUAGAGAUCUGAAGGAAUACCAGUGGCGAAGGCGACUUCCUGGCCAAAAACUGACGCUGAGGUGCGAAAGCGUGGGUAGCAAACGGGAUUAGAAACCCCAGUAGUCC
rnacentral:rRNA from 1 species